AUGCUGACCCUUCGUGGUCAUUUUGACUUUGGGGAAGAGCCGGAAGUUGCACAGUGCCAGAUCCGGAAAAUAAGGUGGAUGAGGACCCAGCAUCGUGUUUCUACGAGCCGCCUUUCCAAUGGAUGGAGCUCAGCAGCAGCAUCCACCACAUUGUUUAUCACAUCCUAUGAAGGCAAUCAGAAGAAAGGACUGCAGAGCUGCUUCAGAAAGUGGAAACGCACUCAAAACAAUUCCAGAGGGUCCUAAAGACACGAUGAGCCUGUAAAUAGAGGCUGCGCUUCUCAGCCAUGGAGCUGCUCCUCAGCCAGCAGUGCUGAGGUCCACAGACAGCUCUGAGCUCGGACUCACACAGGGCUGGCACUGACCUCGCCCCCAGACAGGCCUGACAGAGGACCACACACCCUGGGUCUCCUUCUGAGGGCCCCUCAAGACCCUAUCAAGCCAGACCCCCCAGUAACCGCCUCUCUGGCUCGCUGUCCGUGGGGCAGAGCUCUUCACGUCCGGGUGGAAGUCGGGAGCCUGCAGCUGCGGGUGCGGGGUGAGCUGAGUCAGCUCUCUGCGGACCUGCGUGGACCCCGCCUGCACCCGGGAGACAGUGGCACAGCCUGGUGCUCCUCUGCACCUGCCUGCCAGGCUGCCCACCCUGCCUGCCUGAGUCUAAAUUGAGAGUCUUGGAAGACUUUCA
rnacentral:lncRNA from 1 species